GGCGGCGGCGCGGCUGGGCCAUGCCGGUGGCGGCGGCGGCUGCUCCGCGCCCCGCGCUCCGCUCAGUCCGGCCCGACCCCGCACCGGGAGCGCGCGGCGCGUGCACGGCGGGGGCGGGCUGGGGAGGGGCCGCACCGCAGCACCCCUUCGCUGCCGCCGCGCUGGCCCGCACCGCCGCCCGGCACCGGCACCGGGCAUCCCACGGCCCCGCCGCUGCUCUGGCCGGGCCCGGUACCCCACGCCCCGGCACCUGCACCUCCCGGCUCGCUGCGCCGAGGGGAUGCCGCACCCGCCGAGCAUCGCGCAGUCCGGUACCGCGCCCUCCGGGUACCGGCACCAGCCGCGUCUGCACCCCCGCUGUCCCCGAACCCUGCCCUGCGCACAGCGCCGGCACUGCCCGGCUAUCGGUAUUCCCACCGUCCCGACCGGGACACCUGCACGCCCUGGGGCACCCCGAACCACCCUAGAAAACUGCCCUAUCUGUGGGGGCAUCCCGGCACGGCCCCGGACAUCCCGCACCAUCCCGGGCAUCCCAAAUCCUGCCCCACUGCAGCCUGUGUCUGUCCCAGUCACUCUGCAUGGGUCUCCUCCACACCCCACACACCCACAGCAGCUGGAGCGCCCUGCAGCCCCGGUGUAUUUCCCCACGGCCAGGGGAGGAGCCCCUGCUUCUCCUACUGCUCUGCAGUGCCCAGCGGGUCCAGGGAGGAUUCAGCAGGUACCUAGUGUGGGAUGCCACAACCCAGCCUCAGCCUUGGGGCCCGGUGCAGCCUCUGCCACCUGUCCAUUCCCUGCCGUGCACUGGGCUGCAGGGUAUCUUCCCCUCCCACUCACAGCCUCUCAGCAGGAGCCACCUCUCCCAGAGCCUGCCUCUGCCCAGAGCAAAGCCACCUCUCUGUUUCAGUCUGGCCUGAUGGGAUUACAGAAAUCAUUUGAAACAGGGCAAGGAUUUGGGUCCUGAUGGAUGUAUCUGGUUUCUGCCUCCCUCUGCCAUUGCCAAGGUAGCAUCAGCUGGGACGCCUCCACAGAGGAGACACUGCUUCCUGUUUGACAGGAGACGCUGUUUCCAGCUUGUGUGGCAGCAUGUGAAGGGUCGGCAGUUGUUUUAACUCUCCCACACGCCACUGGCACCUGCACUGACCCAGUGAACAUAAAAUGGCAGAGAGAUCUCUGCACCUCAGUGCAGGUUGGCCUUUAUCUUCCUCAGAGCCUUCCAGCUGCUGCUUCAGAGCUGGUCAGAGUUUUUCUGCCUCUCCUGCCCAGCUCCCUCUCCAAGGGACUGCUUGCUGGUGGUCAGCAGCUUGACUGUGUUGCUGGCCCGUUAUUCACAGGGUGAGCUGCAAGCUGCCAGCCUUUUGGCAGGCAACACGGUCCAGCACCAUGUGGGAUGGAUGCACAGCCCUGCUCUGUGCCCACUAGGUUCAUCGGCUCAGAGAAGCAUCUUGAAGGGGGCCCUGGACUGGUGCUGGGCUGCCCCUCAGCAGGCAUGGCUCCAGGCAUGGCUCCCUGGGUCCUGCUGCCCAGAAUAGGGUGAUGGUGCACGUCUGCAGUGGUGCCUUGUGGCCCAGUCCCCACCACGAGCACUGUGGGAGGGUUGGGUACUCAGCUGCUCCACUGCCAGCUUCAGCUGCUUGAGUGAGCAGUGAUCGAUUUUCUUGCACAACAUCAGCUCUGACAGUGCCUGACAAGACACCUCUGCCCAGGGCGGUCCACGGGGACCGUCUGUGCCAGGCUGCUGGGUGGGGUGGGUGCGUGGGGCACAGCAUGCUCCAGCCCACCCAUCAUCCCAAUGAGGCAAGAUUCGUGUAACCUCGGGUUUCUCCCCGCAUGCUGGGCACACCCCGUGUGGCAGCGCCUGCACACAGCACCUGAGGGCUCUGCCCAGGCGGCUUCUGGGGCUGGUCCCCAGCGUCAGGAAGGCCAGCAUCAAACGCACACUCACACACGCACACCCCACCCCCUUCCUGGACUGGUGGCCAGAGAAGGGCAGCUGAGUGCAUUACUCAAUGGGCAACGCGUAUUAAAAUGCCCCCGGUCGCCUCUGGCUCUGUCACAAGCAGCGUUUAGCCACGACUCGGAGAAGGAGCAGAAGGGCUGGAAGCUGUCAGACCUGCUUAAAACGGCCGCGGCUCAGUGCUAAUGUGCAGCACAGCAGCGGCAGCUGCAAGGCACACAGCCAGGCCAGGCAGAGCUCAGCUCCCCAGACAGCCCUGUGCUGUGACCAGGGCUUGCCCUGGUCCCCACGUCCCCCUGCAGUCUCCUGCACCCACUGGAAACCUCUGGACAGCCAUCCAGGGUCGCGUAGGAUCCUGGGGGCAGUGGCAGCCCUGGGUCUGUCACCACAACAGAGCUCCGGUGUCCUGCUCAUACCACACAGACCUGGACUGUCAAGCAGCAGACACAGCUGGGGGAAGCCUUUUGCCAGAGGAGGAGCAGGGCCAGCGCUGUCGCUGGGCCGUGCAAUAGAGAAUCCCGCGGCAGCAGGCACCUGGCCGGCAGGGAGGGACAUGUACAUCCCCUUUUCCCAGGGAGGUAGGGUGAUUCCUGGGAUGCCUUCACCUGAUCCCCGCGACCCUGAGGAGCACCCAGCUGGAGAUCAGCACCCGUGUUCUCCUGCUGCAGCACCCCAGUCCUGCCCCAGCUGCCGUGCAAGCGGCACCCACUGCACCCCUGCCCGGAUCCCCGCGGCUGUGCUGCCUUUGCCACCCCGCUCCGGCUGCUGCAGAGCCGCCCCCCUCCCACCUCCGGCGCGGCAGCGAUGCAGAAGGAGCAUCCAAGAUGCCGCUUGGCGCAGGCUCAGCUGCCUCCCGGGGCCGGCAGAGGAGGGGGCUGUCGGCCAUGACCGCACACACCACGAAAAGGGGCAUGUUCUAGGCAGGGGCAGUGCCCAGUGUCCCCAGGCUAUGGCUCCGCUGGCGCCGGGGCGCUCCCUGUCCCCACCCUCGGCAGGAUGGGGGAACACAGCCCUGCUCCAUCCGCAGCCGUGGGUCCCUCGGAACAGGGUCCAGCUGACACUGCCAGGGCCCAGAGCAGGGCUGCCACCUCUGGAGUCAGUGAGCACGGGCUGCAGGCAGGCAGAGCCCCUGGAGCAGAUGAGGACCCAGCAGCCAGCUCCGGGCUGGGCCCCAGCCUGAUCUUCAUGGAAAGGGACAAGCAGGGACGCACACACAUCUGUCCUCAGGAAUGAGUGAGUCCUCUCCACCAGGCCUGGCCAGCAACACUUUCCAGGGCACCUGCGGCCACAUGGCAGGAGCCUGGCAGACGUGCAGGGGCAACACAGUUUGGACAGGAGCAGGGCACAGCGGGCGGUGGUGCCAGGCCACACAGCUGCCCCAGAGAACUGCCCCACACCUGCUCCCAGGGAGGAAAGGGCUCAGCUUGCCUUCAUGCUGUGGCCUACCCUACAGAACUGUGUGCCCUCAGAUGAAGAUUCAGUGCAGCUCUUUGCUGAGUCCUUGUGAGCCUCACUGUAUCCUACACAGAUGGGACAGAAGGCAGUGCUGGUCAAGAAAAGCUACCACAGGGACCACAGAACAAACUGAUGAGGAAGAACCAAAGAUGGAAGAAAGGUGGUGGUGGCUUCCAGGUUCAAUAAAGAGCACAGAGCACUAGGAGCAGACCCCAUGCCAGCAGGCUGCACUAGCCAGGUCAGAAGUUGAGAAUGCGGCAUGUUCCCAUGCAGAGAAAGCAGUGGGGCUGUCAAGAAGGAGUUAACAGAGGAGCCUUGGUGCUCAUCAGCCAAACCUUGCUGUGAUGGGGAACAAGAAGCAGUACUGUGAGUGCACUUGGUCUGCAGCUCCUCCUGGACUGCAGAGGUAAUGAGCUGAGAUCUCAGUAACUGCUGUGGUGGGAAAGCUGGGCUUCUUAGAGCUCAGAAUUACCCUGCAACAGAACUUCCUCUUUACUUUAUACCUCUGUCCUGGUGGAACAUGCCACAGACUGCCAGUAAAGCUCUUAAUCAACAUAUAAAUCCUACAAAGCUUGCACAAACCCUUGCACGUAUGCGAACAGUAGCUUAUGAAACAAACAGGGAAGAAGGGCUUUCCUUCCCAAACCAAAUUGUUUAGCCUUCACAAACGCUGAAAAUGCAGACAUAAGUCCUAUUGAGAAAGAGAUAAAGACCAUGUGUGGAGGUGCUGCUUGGCUGUACUGGGAGGAGUGCUGAGGAGGAAAGGCAGGCUCUGAAUACACACUCAGUUUGCAAAGUAAGCUCUCUGUAUUCAUCCGAGAAUGUCUGCAGUAUGGAGUUCAUCUGGUAUAAAUAAAGUACAAAAUUUUACAAUGUCUUAAUCAUUAUUUUAACAAAAAUACUAAAAACUGAGUAAAAACUGAAACCAAAGUGGGAAGGGAGACUAUCAGCCACAAGGGAUCUCCAUAAACAUUUGUAGAAAUUGGAUAGUAAAAACACUUUCUCUGUACAAUAAAACCCUCCUCCUAGCAUCUCCCUGUGAGAACAGACAGCAGCAGCACUGGAGGCACAGGCCCAAGGACAGAGGUUGGGACUGCCCCAGGGGUUGUGGGUCAGGCUGAAGAGGCUGUAUACAUCCAUCCACAGUGAUGUCUCCCUCCUGGAUCAGGCUGAAGGUGCCACAGAUCAGUAGCGUCCAAAUGGGUUGUUGUUCUGCUGUGUCUGUGUAUCUGUUGAGGUCAAGACAGAGUUAGACAAGUCACAAGUUUAGUUCACACAAGAAAUCCCCCUCCCUACCAAAGCUGAAUGAGGAGUGUGUCACAGCCCAUGAGAAGAAAAAAUAUAACUCUGCUCUGCACAUCUGUCUGAGCCUUUGGGCAGCAGCACAGCCAGGAUCCCACAUUCUCUGAGGAAGACACAGAUAUGUGCCAGUCCUGAUCCUGAUGCUUCUCCAGAGAUCUCUGUGUCUCUCAUGGUAGAAUUGGAGGACCGUAACACAGCCCUGAAAGGAGGCAGCUAGCUGGGAGGAUGAGUUUAUGGAUUAAUUAUUUCUGGUUUUAAAAGAAAAUCAGCCCUAUAAGACUGCACAACUCCUGCAGCCAUACAAAGCUGCUCAGCCAGCUAGUGUCACUCAUCCUAAGGCACACAGGAACCAGAGUUAGGCUUCAGAGACAAUUAUCCUGGCUCCCUGUCAGUAUCUCAGUACAAAUGAAGUACAGCCCCAAAGGACUUCCAGAUGGCACAAAAAAAGGCAGGAAAAAAAGUAAAGUUACAUUCAAGAACUUCAUGAACUUCCGAACUGCUGGGACUGAUGUUCUGUGAUUUAUAGAGCUCACAGUAUACCUGAGCACCAGUUUGGGUUUUUUUCCCAAAACCACAUCAACAUGUUUGACAUUAAAUCAGACUAAGUAAAAGGAGAUGAGUGUAACCUGGCUGGCCUGCCACCUUCCCAACUCUGCUGGAUGUUCAGGUAUUCCCUGGAGCCUCCUAAUGCAGCCUAUCCUGGGCCCAAAGUACUCUUGUCCCCUCCUAAAGGCUGCUCUUGGUUUACACCUCCUGUUUUCCACUCCACCCCAGAUACUACAAAUAAGAACUCCAGAUGCUUCCAGGGGGAGUUGAUGCAAACCCAAGAAAGCAGCAUGGAAAGCUGCCUGCUGACACAUGGCUGCACUGGACCCACACAUCUGCUCCAUUUACAACAGCUCCGUUUGCUGAAGAGACAGGAUACAAAAAUAUGGCUAUUCUGCUAUAUUCAGAUUCUUCUAUGAGGCCUUCCUACACUUGAGUGUCCUGCUGGGAUCUUUUGGCACAGACCUGUGGUUUGUGAAUCAGGCUAGUGGGAAACUUAGCAUAUUAAAACUCAUUAAUACUUCUGGUUUGGGGAGUUUUUUUUGGUCACAAGGACUAAGGAUUUUCCAUCAGGGAACAAGUAUAAGCACAAUUUCCAAGUCUCCCACUCCACACAUCACCACAUCCGGCACAGUCUCACACUCACUGCAAAAAAAACCCAACUGUGUGGUCCAUUUCUGGGCAUUUCCGCCAUUUUUAUGGCAGAAAAGCCCGUGAGGUGACAGAAGACAGUGACAGCAGGCCAUUCAAAAUGGAACAGCAGAGACAUUGGAUUCUGUUUCUUGAUCCUCCAGCCAGUAAUUCAAUAUAGAUUAUAGGAAUACAGUGACAGAUUGAACACCAUCUAUGUCAUUACCCUGUCAUGACAGCAGCCAUGAAAGCCCACAGACCACCACGAACACAGCAAGUGUGCAACUACACUUCCCAGAGUACCCUUCCUGCCUCCAAGAAGUCUUGUCCUGCUCACAACACAACCACAGUAUCCCUGGGUCAUCCACCAAGUGAGUGCUCCAGGAUUACACCCUUCCUGUGCCCCUCAGAGGUCACCUGCAGCAGAGAAAACACCCCCAAACAAUUUAAAGCUGCACACCGGAUCCCUUCAGGAAAGCUAUGUGGCAGUCCCUACAAAGGCUCAGCUCCCUCAUCCCUCUGCAGGCAGCAGGAGGAAGGUCUGGAAGGUUGCUCACAAGCUGGCAAGCACUGCCCACCCUGCUGCUGUGCCCCUUGGGCUGGUAGCUCUAAUUCUUGAUGUCACCUCCCUGCCAGCAUCACUUAUGGCCUCAGACAGACGGUCUGGCUCAGCCUUGCUACAUCAGAGUACCUGCAAUAGAAAACAGCAGGGAGGACACUAGCAACAGGAUCAAGAACACUCAGGCUUACUGGAAAGCUGCUGCUGAAGCUGUCGAACCAGAGCAGCUGUUUGCUGCUGCUGCUGUGUCUGCUGAAGGCCCUGGCGCUGGAACUGCAAAGAGAGAAACACAGUCAGAGCCACACCACCUGUCUGGCAGCCUCAGCAUUCACACAAGCCCUGGGAAGCUCAGGGAAGGAGAAAGCAGGUUCCUAAAUUACCCAAGUUUCACCAGGACUCUGCCCUAGGCUGAGAAAUAGCAAGAAAUAUAGGGACAGCAACAAAGUAUUCUGCAAGAUGAGUGCUGACAGAUGGCAGGAAGAGGACUCCCUGUCAUAACCUGGUCAUUACCAGGAGCAAACGAGGUACAAGAAUAGAAAGCAACUAAGAACUCAAGAGGUUGGCUGGUUCAUCUCUUGCCUCCUAGUUAAGAUCAAUACUGACUUCACUGAG